AGGGGAUCUUCCCGACCCAGGGAUCAAACGGUCUCCUGCACUGGCAGAUGGAUUCCUUAACAACUGGAAGCCCAACAAAGUGUUUUAAAAAGCAAGCUGGAGAGACAGGAGGUCUCAGAGAGUGCAGUGCCUGGAGGGGUCAUGGUGACUGGUAUCGAGAAAGUCUAGAGAAUGACCACAGAGAGAAAACACAGCCAUCAUCCUCUAUGCCAUGGCUCUUCUGAAGUCUGUGUUCAACGCUGAUGCUUCUCAAGUGACCCUGAAGCUUUUUCUCUCUAAGGUAAAUCAUUCCAGGUCUUUAGCCCUUCUUUGCUGGUCACUGAAUGACUGUUUUGCUUUUCUCUGAACUCUCUCCACAUUCUCUGAAUCCCAUUGAGCGAUGGAGAAUCAGAGCUGGCCCAGCUCCGUUACAGUUCUGAUCUGUGCAGAGCAGUGUAGCAAUUACCUCAUGAUACAGACAUGCUUUUCAUUUGCCACAGUUCUCUGCUUGCAUUUUUUUUUUUUUUCAAUCCACAGAACUGCAGGGUUGUGACAAGUCCUCCCGGUCAGCUGGCUAUCCACUAAAGCUAUACUUUUAAUUUUCCAGCCAACUGCCUUUGAGUGGCUGGCACCUUGCCUUUGAACAUGUUCCCUUUUCAACUCCAAGUGCAUAAUCCUGAAUUUUUUUUUGCUGAACUGCAUCCAGUCUAUGUCCCAUUAUUUCAGUUGAUCAGCAUUGCCUUCUAGGACCACUGUAGCCUGCAGAGAUCUUUCCGUUUGUGACACUUCAGGGUUUGGGUGUUUCGUUGCCUGCUUUGCAUUUUCUGUUGAUCAGUGCAUUAGUCAGAUUACAUUAAAUUAUACUGCUAUAAAAAAAAUCAUCUCCAAAUCUCAAUGACUUAAAACCAGAGUUUUGAGUUCUCUUUUCCACUCAUACUACAUUUCCUACACUGGUCAUCAGAGAGACUCUGACCAUCAGAGUCACUCCAUGGUCCAGGUUGGUCCAUUUUGUUUUGCCACCACCUCAACUCAAGGCUUCUAGGUUUGCUGGGACAGGGUCACAGAGCAUGGAGAAUGGAGGUAUUUGGCAUGUUUAUUCCAUCUAGAAGUGAUACACAUUGCUUAUGCUACCAUUUCUUUGACACAAGCAAGUCAUGUUCUUGUGACUCAUUCCAAGGGCAAUACAUGCCCCAAAGGACAGAAGAACCAGAGAGAAAUCCUGGUACUCACAGAAGGUCUCCCACAGUCAAUGAGAUCGCAGCUUUUCUAAACACCUCAAUCUUGUCCUUUAUUUCUGCAUGUAUGCUCAGUCGCUCAGUUGUGUCUGACUCCUUGCGGCCCCAUGGACUGUAGCCCACAAGGCUCCUUUGUCCAUGGAAUUUUCCAGGCAAGAAUACUGGA